ACUUCUUUAGUAUUAACUAGUACGAUUGACCUCCAAUCAAUAGGCUCUGGUACAAGCCAGAAAGAAGUA